rnacentral:rRNA from 1 species
UACGGGAGGCAGCAGUGGGGAAUAUUGCACAAUGGGCGCAAGCCUGAUGCAGCCAUGCCGCGUGUAUGAAGAAGGCCUUCGGGUUGUAAAGUACUUUCAGUCGUGAGGAAGGUGUUAAGGUUAAUAACCUUAGCAAUUGACGUUAGCGACAGAAGAAGCACCGGCUAACUCCGUGCCAGCAGCCGCGGUAAUACGGAGGGUGCGAGCGUUAAUCGGAAUUACUGGGCGUAAAGGGCACGCAGGCGGUUAAUUAAGUUGGAUGUAAAAUCCCCGGGCUUAACCUGGGAAUGGCAUUCAAGACUGGUUAGCUAGAGUCUUGUAGAGGGGGUAGAAUUCCAUGUGUAGCGGUGAAAUGCGUAGAGAUGUGGAGGAAUACCGGUGGCGAAGGCGGCCCCUGGCAAAGACUGACGCUCAUGUGCGAAAGCGUGGGGAGCAAACAGGGAUUAGAUACC